rnacentral:sRNA from 1 species
GCUGGGUGUGGUGGCGCAGCACAUCUGUAAUCCCAGCAGCUCGGGAGGCUGAGGCAGGAGGAUCCCAAGUUCAAAGCCAGCCUCAGCAACUUAGUGAGGCCCUAAGCAACUUGGUGAGACCCUGUCUCUA